rnacentral:lncRNA from 1 species
GAAUGAGGUUCUGAGGUUCCGUGAACCAGCAGCGAGUGUCAAGGGGACACCUUAGCAAAGCUCCUCAUCCUUCUCACUUUCAAAGCCUCACUGUUAGUGAGGGAGCUGUGAUGGAGCAGGUCAGACUUGAACAGCCUAGGUCAUCGAUUUCCCAAUUAAGGUACCUACACCUGAAAGAAUUAUCAGCUAAACAUGUGCUAUUUAUUGGUGCCACGGAAAGAUGGCAAACCCUAAUGUAAACUGUGGAUACUUGGUGAUAAUAACACAGUAGUGUAAGAUCAUCACUUGUCACAAGUAGACCAGUCUUUGGGGGAGGUUCAUGGCAGGGAGCCACAUCUGUAGGGGAAGGGAGGAUAAGGGAAGCAUCUGUACCCUCUGCUCAACUUUUCUAUGAACCUAAAACUGCUCUAAGAAUAAAAGAUUUAAGACAAAAGAUGUUAGGAAAACACCAAAGAAGUUGGUAGGAAAUUAGGCUAAGACGAAAUGUAUUCAUUUCACAAUCCCAAGAGGAUCCAGCUUCAAAGAUGUGGGAGAAAAGGUACACUCCGCAUUAUUGGUGGGACUGAAAAUUAGUAGGACCACUUUGGAAAGCCCUAAGAAGAUGGCUAAAAAAAUAGGAAGAGAUGACCCAGCUAUCCCACUUCUCGGUAUUUAUCCCAAAGAACUAAAAUCAGCAAACCAUAGUGAUCAUUAUUUAUAGCGGCACAAUUUGCCCAAAUUCUGGAACCAGCCCAGGUGCCUGUUAGCCAAAGAAUGGAUAAAUAAAAUGUGGUAUAUAUACACAAUGGAGU